rnacentral:rRNA from 1 species
GUGGGGUAAGAGCCUACCAAGGCGACGAUCAGUAGCUGGUCUGAGAGGAUGAUCAGCCACACUGGGACUGAGACACGGCCCAGACUCCUACGGGAGGCAGCAGUGGGGAAUUUUCCGCAAUGGGCGAAAGCCUGACGGAGCAAUACCGCGUGAGGGAGGAAGGCUCUUGGGUUGUAAACCUCUUUUCUCAGGGAAGAAKAAAAUGACGGUACCUGAGGAAUAAGCAUCGGCUAACUCCGUGCCAGCAGCCGCGGUAAUACGGAGGAUGCAAGCGUUAUCCGGAAUGAUUGGGCGUAAAGGGUCCGCAGGUGGCAUUGUAAGUCUGCUGUUAAAGAGUUUGGCUCAACCAAAUAAGAGCAGUGGAAACUACAAAGCUAGAGUGUGGUCGGGGCAGAGGGAAUUCCUGGUGUAGCGGUGAAAUGCGUAGAUAUCAGGAAGAACACCGGUGG